rnacentral:lncRNA from 1 species
UUUAAAUAUGGGUUUUUAAGAAAAUCAUUAUAUUUUAUUUUUUUCAUCAAAUUUUAAGAGAAUAAUAUUAGUAUAUAUUAGACAUAAUACAAAACUGGAAAAAAUGCGGUAUAGUUCUGAUUUUAUAUCUAACUAGAAAUGAAAAUUGUGCAAGCUAAUUCAUUGGUGUAUUGUUUCUUAUUCAGAAAACAGCAUCUGUGAGCCAGGUUUUCUCGUUGAAUCUAAAAUAUAAUUGUUUCAAAAACUUCUCAGCUAAAUACAGCAAGAAAAUAUAUGUCUUCACUAACACACACAGACACACACAUACAUACACACACAGUUCAAUAAAUUCUCUGUAACCAUAUUCAUUUAUAAAAAGCUAAAAAGCUAAAUAUGAGUUCAUACUGAUGCCUUCACCUCAAAUCCAUUACCAUAUUGACUAUUCUGGACAACUUCUUUGCUCGUAUUUGUAAUAUAUGUUCUUAGUCCAAUAGUAAGAACCCUGGCUCCCACAUCUGCCAUCCAUUAAUUCAAUUGUUCAGUUCCAGUAUAUAUGUUUAUUGAUGUAAGAAUUUUUAACCCAUACCUCUAUUGGAAAAAUGUUAUCAACUAGAGAACAGUACAUAUGUAUUACAAACUAAAAUUCAUUUCCAAAGUUGCGUAAGAUGGCAACUUUUCCCUCCACUCCCUUCACUGAGGUUGUUUAAUACAUUUGAAGUGCAGUUAUAUUCUCUUGUCACAAUCUGCAUUCCUUCCAAGAUCCCAUGUUUUUCCAAUUAUUUUUAAAUGUUGCAUAGAUUAUUGUUUACUCUUUUUGCUAUAGUUUUGUAAGUUUUGACAAAUACAAAACUUCUUAUAUGCAAUAUUAAAGAAUUAUACAGAUUAUUUUAACUGCUUUCAAAAUCUCUUGCACGUCAUCUAUUCAGCCUUCCUCCCUUUCUCCUGAAUGUAUGCCAACCACUGUUACUUCUACCGUUUCUGUAUUUUUUUCCUUUUCUAGAACACUAUAUAAUUGGAGGUGUAUAGUGUGUAGCAUUUACACACUGGCUUUCUUCUCAUAGCAAAUAUCCGUUGGUUUCACUCAUUCUUUUCUUGGUUUAAUAGCUCAUUUAUUUUUUCCCUGAAAAACCUUCCAUUGAAUGAAUGGAUUGACCACAGUUGGUUUAUUCAUUAAUCUACUGAAAGACAUUUCAGCAAAUUCGAAUUUUGGACUCUUAUAAAUAAAGCUGCUAUAUGCUUUCAUAUAAAGUGUCUUUAUUUGCUUGUUUUUGCUUUGAUAUUUCUUGGUUUUGUAGAUGUAGGCUUGCAAAUUAAUAAAUACCUGGAAGUGUAAUUUUUGGAUAUUAUAGUAAAACUAUAUUUGGUUUUUGUCUUAGUUCAUUUUCUGUUGCUAUAACAAAAUAUCAUGGCCUGGGUAAUUUGAAAAUAAAACAAAUUUACUUUCUAAACGUUUGGAAGCUGGGAAGUCCAAGAACAUGGUGCUAGCAUCUGCUGAGAGCCUUCUUACUUUGUUAUAGUGUGGCAAAAAUGCAAGCGAGCAUGCAAGAGAGAAAGAUUAAAUUGGGCCAAAUUCCUCUUUCUCAUGAGCCCUCUUUAUUAUGAGCUCACUCCCACAAUAACUAACCCACUCCUAAGAUGGCAGCAUUAAUGUAUUCAUGAGAUAGAAGCCUUCACAAUCUAACGACUUCUUAAAGGCUCCACCUCUUCAUGCUGUUACGUUGGCAGUUACAUUUUAAUAUGAGUUUUGGAAGAGACAUUCAAAUCAUAGUAUCUUUGUAAGAAACUGCCACUCUCUUCUAAAUUGACUGUACAUUUCACUUUCCCACCAUCAAGGAAUGGAAGUUCAUGUCACUCUACAUCCUUGACAGCAGUUAAUAUGAUGGCCGCAAAAACUCCAGCCAUCACAUGGGUGUUUCAGGCAGGAAGAAGGGCAUGAGCAAAAGGAGAAGUAUUCUGGAUGGCUGAGCCCAUGUGCAUUUCUUUCUGACUUCUGUCUUCAAUUUAUUGGCCAAAAUGUGAUAUAUGAUAAGAGAAGAUGAGAUAACAAUUAUUAUUUAAAAGCGGGCCUUCCUAACUUUACAAGCAAAAGCAGAAUUUUGUGCUAAGAAAGAAGAAAAUACAUUUGGUGAGCAUUUAGCAGUCUUGCUGCAUUUAUCAGUGAAAGAGAAACUUGUCUUGAUAAUCAGCUUACUCUGAAUAAAAAAAAGAUAACAUAAGUGGGG